rnacentral:rRNA from 1 species
GAUGAACGCUGGCGGCGUGCCUAAUACAUGCAAGUCGAGCGAACAGACGAGGAGCUUGCUCCUCUGACGUUAGCGGCGGACGGGUGAGUAACACGUGGAUAACCUACCUAUAAGACUGGGAUAACUUCGGGAAACCGGAGCUAAUACCGGAUAAUAUAUUGAACCGCAUGGUUCAAUAGUGAAAGACGGUUUUGCUGUCACUUAUAGAUGGAUCCGCGCCGCAUUAGCUAGUUGGUAAGAUAACGGCUUACCAAGGCGACGAUGCGUAGCCGACCUGAGAGGGUGGUCGGCCACACUGGAACUGAGACACGGUCCAGACUCCUACGGGAGGCAGCAGUAGGGAAUCUUCCGCAAUGGGCGAAAGCUUGACGGAGCAACGCCGCGUGAGUGAUGAAGGUCUUCGGAUCGUAAAACUCUGUUAUUAGGGAAGAACAAAUGUGUAAGUAACUAUGCACGUCUUGACGGUACCUAAUCAGAAAGCCACGGCUAACUACGUG